rnacentral:rRNA from 1 species
GACGAACGCUGGCGGCGUGCUUAACACAUGCAAGUCGAACGAAAAUACCAAGCUUGCUUGGUUGAUUAGUGGCGAACGGGUGAGUAACACGUGAGUAACCUGCCCCUUACUUUCCUGGAUAACUGCUCGAAAGGGUAGCUAAUACGGGAUAUUCUGACCAGCCUGCAUGGGUUGGUUUGGAAAGGUUGUUUUUCUGGUAAGGGAUGGGCUCGCGGCCUAUCAGCUUGUUGGUGGGGUGAUGGCCUACCAAGGCUUUGACGGGUAGCCGGCCUGAGAGGGUGGACGGUCAGAAUGGGACUGAGGUACGGCCCAGACACGGACGGGAGGCGGGGGUGGGGAAUAUUAGACGGUGGGAGCAAGCCUGAUGCAGCGCCGCCGCGUGAGGGAUGACGGCCUUCGGGUUGUAAACCUUUUUCGUAAGGAAAAAAGGCACUGCUUUUUUGGUGGUGUUGAGGGUACCUGAAUAAGAAGCGCCGGCUAACUACGUG